UUAACUCAGAUUUGUAUGGAGUUAGAAAGUUUGUUUACGUUUGCCGCUAGGGGCGCUGUUCCAACUCCAUACAAAUGUGAGUUA
rnacentral:pre_miRNA from 1 species